GGCAUUCCUUCAAUCACUCACCCCAUUCUAGGAGGAGUUAGAACAAUUAAUCAUUGACUUUCGCAAUACAUUACGCCUCUCGCGUCUUGCCUUCCAAAGGUUUACCAAACUUAGGUUUUCUAGGUCCCAACGGCCUAAUGCUAAGCUCUGAUACCAACUUAAUCAUAUCACGCCCCGGAUUACUCGUUCCUCAGGCGCGCCGACAAAUCCGCCGUAUACAAAGAAAUUUUCCCUGUAUACGAAGCGAUAGCUGUACCUGUAAAUCAUACAAUACUACAAACAGUAGUAUAGAGCUGCUAGAAGAACCAAUAAUAAAACAAACCGAGUUUCAUAUACAUACGCCAAAUCCAAGAUACAAUACUACUCGCACUG
rnacentral:lncRNA from 1 species